rnacentral:rRNA from 1 species
CCCCUAGUAACUGCGAGUGAAGCGGGAAAAGCUCAAAUUUUGAAUCUGGCGGUCUUUGUGGCCGUCCGAGUUGUAAUCUAGAGAAGCGUGUUCCGCGCUGGACCGUGUACAAGUCUCCUGGAAGGGAGCAUCAUAGAGGGUGAGAAUCCCGUCUUUGACACGGACUGCCAGUGCUAUGUGAUGCGCUCUCGACGAGUCGAGUUGUUUGUGAAUGCAGCUCAAAAUGGGUGGUAAAUUCCAUCUAAAGCUAAAUACUGGCGAGAGACCGAUAGCGAACAAGUACCGUGAGGGAAAGAUGAAAAGAACUUUGGAAAGAGAGUUAAACAGUACGUGAAAUUGCUGAAAGGGAAACGCUUGAUGUCAGUCGCGUUCGCCAGGGAUCAACCUUGCGUUCAUUGCUCGGUGCAUUUCUUGGUUGGACGGGUCAGCAUCAGUUUCGAUCGAGGUAUAAUGGCGGAGGGAACGUGGCACCUCUAGGGGUGUGUUAUAGACUUUCGUCGUAUGCUUGGGUGGGGACUGAGGAACUCGACACGGAC